GUGGGGAAUCUUGCGCAAUGGGCGAAAGCCUGACGCAGCCAUGCCGCGUGGAUGAUGAAGGUCUUAGGAUUGUAAAAUCCUUUCACCGGUGAAGAUAAUGACUGUAGCCGGAGAAGAAGCCCCGGCUAACUUCGUGCCAGCAGCCGCGGUAAUACGAAGGGGGCUAGCGUUGCUCGGAUUUACUGGGCGUAAAGGGCGCGUAGGCGGACAGUUAAGUUGGGGGUGAAAGCCCGGGGCUCAACCUCGGAACUGCCUUCAAUACUGGCUGUCUUGAGUAUGAGAGAGGUGUGUGGAACUCCGAGUGUAGAGGUGAAAUUCGUAGAUAUUCGGAAGAACACCAGUGGCGAAGGCGACACACUGGCUCAUUACUGACGCUGAGGCGCGAAAGCGUGGGGAGCAAACAGGAUUAGAUACCCUUGUAGUCC
rnacentral:rRNA from 1 species